CAGGACCUUUGGAAGAGCUCUUGACCACUGAGCCAUCUCUCCAGGCUCUAGGACAUUCAAGAAGCCUCAGCCCAACUGAUAGAGCCAAAAUUACCUGCAGAUAUGAUGCAACUAUUCCUAAAAACAUCUCAAAUAUUUUGAAGUUGCAAGUUAAUUAUGAGAAAAGAAACAAAUGUCCAACACCCAGUUUGGGGGAAAUUUUCUAAGGCAGCCACAGGUCUAAUGUUUGCCCAAAUGGAAUCUUUGGAAUCAUAGAGAUACUCCUUCACCUCCCAGCCAGCUCCAUCAGGUCUCUUCUAUGAUAAGAACAACAGGAAGGCAGAGAGAACACGCAGAAGGUUGACAAGAAGCUGACAUGAGCCCUUGUUUCCAUAGAACAGGGGAGAAAACAGUGAACUCUCCAUGCAAAUCCAGCUCCUGGAGAAGAACCAAGUGUGGUGUGGUCUUGUCAGCCUGUUACCUGAGCAAGAGUGACAAGAUCAUGUGGGACUCACCAGGGUCUGGGUCAUUGUUCUGCACACACAACCACAGAGAGUACAACAGCAGCCUCCAGUCCCUUGUUGCUGACCUUUGAGGAAGCUGGGCAUGUAAGAUUGAAUUAAAGACCAGACGUGAUAGUAGUAGCCAACCUACUAUUUUAUAAUAUAUAUGAAUUUAAUUGGAGUUACCUGACGAAAGGGAUGAUGCUUCUCCCAGAAGCCAUGGAUUAUUAAAUAGCCCAGUGCCAAGUGUGGAACACCCCCUCCAGCUGUUGGUCAGGGCUGUUCCAGUGAUCCCCCAAAACAAUGCAGGUAUUGUUUUGAUCUUGAUUCCUAUUGUCAUUGCUCUUGAUUCCUAUUGCUUAAGACACCACACACGUUGGCCACAGGGUAUGGAGAAAUCAAGUUGACACUGACCAGAAACCUUCCUUCCUAUUACCUAGUUUUCCUAUUACCAGAAGAUACUACCAGGCUAUUGAGUGGAGGAAAGUUGUCAAUGUUCUUAUUCCUCUGUGAACUACAAUAAUGGCCAACAUGGCAAGAUAUACCCAUGGGUCAACAGUGGCAUGAAUAUCACAGAGGUAACCAAGUAACUUUAUGUUUCAAUUUAAGGCCCACUCCACAGGAGGAAACACUUGCCUAAUACUAUAAAUGUCAUCAUGAUCCCAUGGUUGGCGAGUUCAGAGGUCCCAGAGGUGAAACUACAACCACCACCACCACCACCACCACUACCACCACCACCACCACAACUAACACCAUCACCACCACUAACACCACCACCACCACCACCACCAUCACC